ensembl:lncRNA
CUGUGGGUCAGUGCUGUACUAGAUGAGUUCAUGUCUCCUGGUCCAGUGAACUAUGGAAUGCUGUCCUUCUUCAUCGCUCUCCCCUGGCUGUUUUCCUGGUUUUCUUCAAGUCUCAACUAAAAUCGGUGUCACUAGAUCAGUGUACAUGGGAGCAAGAAAGAUUUGAGUCCUCAAUAGGAGGGUGUCCAAGGGCUGAGUAACUGUUCACAAAGGAAAUAUGUUUACUCCUGGAUGACCUGUUCUUGUGGAAGCCUUGAUUUGGACCAAUCCGGGGGCAGGAUCAAGGAGCCUACUAAGAGAAGGGUGAACUCUUGGAAAUAUUCUCAUGUCAGUACUAGCCUCAUUUCCUCUUCUCCCUCAGACUCUACCCAGUCGGUUUAUUUUGUGAUCAAUCUCUUUCGCAUCAGCCUGGUUGGAUUGGUCCUCCUUGUCAUCGGGAAACUUUUGGCCAGUGAGUGGAACAGCCUGAGGAGUCGAGGGUAAGCCAGAAAAUGUCUGCCUGGAGCAGUAAGGCUGGACAGACAGACAUCAAAGGAUUACAAGAACUUCAAACUAACCAGCAAGUGUUGAGGGAAAGAGAUCAGCCAACUGUGGGCAACAUAAGAAGACUUGGACCCAAAUCCAGCUAAUGUCCAGAGCUGACCAUCAGAAACCUUCUGUCCCUUCUCUUGGCCCAGUACCAGGCUUCCUGCUCUCCAGCCCUACUUCUCUUCAUGCUGUAUCACCAGGUCCUCUCCUCCCCAGAUUCCCUUUAUACACGUCAUAAAUAUAUAAAUAAUAAAUAAAGAGAAAAGACAAAAUGUAUUUCCCAAAUAGCAAAGCUUCCGAGAGUUAUGAAAUUCUGAAGAGUAGCAAAAAUUCUCAGCUCUGACCCACCCUGUAUGUUACAAAGCACUUUUUAAAACCAUUGCUAGGUGAUUUAAUGAGCUGAAUUCUGUGAUCCACAAAGACCUGAGUUCAAAACCUAUUCCAGUCAUUUACUAGCUGUGGGACCCUGGGUAAUUCAUUUAACCCUUUCUCAUACCCUUAGUCCCUCUAACUGUAAAAUGCAAAUAAUAACGGCACCAUCUUUAUAAGGAUGUUAGAAGUAGCAGAUAAGAUAUAUUCAUAUAUUUGACAGUACUUUGCAAAUCAGAUAGAUCUAGAUGUAGAUAUAUGCACUUGUACAUAUACAAAAGCAUAUAUCUAUAAACAAGUGUUAUAUAAGUUAUUUUUGUAUGUGUAUUUCUACACACACACACUUUAUAUAUGCUGACUAUUAACAUUGUGAGAUGAUCAGCUAUGAUAGACUGAGCUCUUCUCAACAGUGCAAGGAUCCAAGACAAUCCCAAAAGAUUCAUGGUGGAAAAUGCUAACUUCAUCCAGAGAAAGAACUAUGAAAUCUGAAUGCAGAUCAGAGCAGACUAUUUUCACUUGUUUUUUGGUGGAGGGAGGAACUUUUGAGUUUUCACAUUUUGUUCUGUUUCUUCUUUCACAACAAGACUCAAGUGCAAAUAUGUCUAAUAUGAUUGAACAUGCAUUGUCAAAUGCAAAUUGCUUGUCAUCCUGGGGGUGGAGAGGAGGAAAGGAAGGGAGGAAUAAAAUUUUGUAACUCAAAAUCUUAUAAAAUAUAUGUUGGAAACUAUCUUUACAUGUAAUUAGAAAAAAAUAAAAUACUAAUUACAAAAAUCAACUUUUGAACAUUAGUAAAUAAUUGCUGGCCAUUAGUACCAUUAUUGUUGUUAUCUUAUCUGGAAAAGCAGUGAAUAUAAAUAUCACCAUUUGACAGAUGAAAAAUCUGAAGCUUAUGGAGAGGUCAUGAACCAUCCCUGAUCACUCAGUGAGCAGGGGCUCCACAUCUUCAAAGUUCAAGUUUAGGCUUAUUUUCCCUACUCCAUAAAAGUCUCUUUGAUCCCAGAUCCCCUCCUUUCUACUCCAUAAAUGUUUGCUACAACCUCAUGCCUAAAAUUUGCUCCACUCCCGAUAUGAGUUUAUGCCUCCUUUUACCUAUUAUAAUGUUCUGAAUAAAAUUAUUUUAGCCCCCUUUUCCUUGCCAUUAGGACUAGGAGAAAUUGAGUCAGAAAAGAAACCAUUGAGAUAAACUCCAGGUGUCUUAUGUCAAUCCUUGCUGGAAUAAUUCCCCCUCUGUUGGAAUCCUUACAAAGUGUUAACUCAUUCGAGUUGAUAGAGACAAUAAUUAUCUAAUUUAGUAUAGUUCAGUAUGAUUCAUCUGAUCUUACAAGGAGAUGUUAUGGGCCAGAACUUGAAACAAGGUACUAAGUGGAACUGAUAGAAACAAUGCUUGUGUUCACACCUUUAGAGAGCUCAUAUAAGCAAGAAGCGAUUAGGGCCAAAGAGCACUCUGGGACAGACACAGGAGCAUUCUGGGACAGACACAGAGCACUCUGGAGGAAGCCCAAAGCCUACUCUCAGAGAUGGAGUCAGAUUCAUUCCAACUUUCACCUUGGUGAUGGCUGAAGAUAUUUGGAAGAAGAGGAGCCAAAGCUGACAGAGGCAAAAGAUUAGCGGCAAGAGCUCUUGGGACCAAGCAGACAGAUAGGCUUCUAAGAAAGUUAACCAGGGCCAAGGAAAGAGACAAGAAAUAAACGUUUGGAUUUUUAUCAGCUGAGUGCAUUUGUGGUGAUUAACACUUGGAACUGAAAUUAAGGUUGCCUCCAGAAAACUUCCCCAAGAAACCUGCUCCCACAGAGAAUCAUUAUAUUUUAAGGAAGAACACCACACCCCUCCAUUUGAGUAUUGCCCCUUGCUUUGCUGUCUCCCGCCCUCGACCUUCUUAUCAUGACCUUUAUCCUGUUAAGACUAAGUUAUGAUCAUUUCCUAGAAUUAUAGUUUGUCCAUUCACCCAGUGUACUCACCCCCCCAUCUGCCUUUGUUUCCCCUAUAAGAUUGUAG